rnacentral:rRNA from 1 species
GGGGCAUCGGGAGGGAAGCUUGCUUUCCUUGCCGGCGACCGGCGCACGGGUGAGUAACACGUAUGCAACCUGCCCUCUUCAGGGGGACAACCUUCCGAAAGGGAGGCUAAUCCCGCGUAUAUCGGUUUCGGGCAUCCGAGAUCGAGGAAAGAUUCAUCGGAAGAGGAUGGGCAUGCGGCGCAUUAGCUAGACGGCGGGGUAACGGCCCACCGUGGCGACGAUGCGUAGGGGUUCUGAGAGGAAGGUCCCCCACACUGGUACUGAGACACGGACCAGACUCCUACGGGAGGCAGCAGUGAGGAAUAUUGGUCAAUGGGAGAGAUCCUGAACCAGCCAAGCCGCGUGAGGGAAGACGGCCCUAUGGGUUGUAAACCUCUUUUGUCGGAGAACAAAACCCGGGGCGAGUCCCGGACUGCGUGUAUCCGAAGAAAAAGCAUCGGCUAACUCCGUGCCAGCAGCCGCGGUAAUACGGAGGAUGCGAGCGUUAUCCGGAUUUAUUGGGUUUAAAGGGUGCGUAGGCGGUCCGUUAAGUCAGCGGUAAAAUUGCGGGGCUCAACC